GGCAUUGUGGUUUAGUGGUUAGAACAUUUUCCUCGCACCUCCAGGGUUGGGAGUUCGAUUCCUGCCUCCAGCGCUG